rnacentral:rRNA from 1 species
AUUGAACGCUGGCGGCAGGCCUAACACAUGCAAGUCGAGCGGAUGAAGGGAGCUUGCUCCUGGAUUCAGCGGCGGACGGGUGAGUAAUGCCUAGGAAUCGGCCUGGUAGGGGGGGAUAACGUCGGGAAACGGGCGCUAAUACCGCAUACGUCCGGAGGGAGAAAGUGGGGGAUCUUCGGACCUCACGCUAUCAGAUGAGCCUAGGUCGGAUUAGCUAGUUGGUGGGGUAAAGGCCUACCAAGGCGACGAUCCGUAACUGGUCUGAGAGGAUGAUCAGUCACACUGGAACUGAGACACGGUCCAGACUCCUACGGGAGGCAGCAGUGGGGAAUAUUGGACAAUGGGCGAAAGCCUGAUCCAGCCAUGCCGCGUGUGUGAAGAAGGUCUUCGGAUUGUAAAGCACUUUAAGUUGGGAGGAAGGGCAGUAAGUUAAUACCUUGCUGUUUUGACGUUACCAACAGAAUAAGCACCGGCUAACUUCGUG